rnacentral:rRNA from 1 species
AGCAGCCGCGGUAAUUCCAGCUCCAAUAGCGUAUAUUAAAGUUGCUGCAGUUAAAAAGCUCGUAGUUGAAUUUCGGGACUAAUAUGUCGGUCGUGCCUCGGUACGUACUGGUUUAUUGGUUUCUCCUUCUGAAGAACCAUGAUGUCAUUUAUUUGGUGUCGUGGGGAAUCAGGACUGUUACUUUGAAAAAAUUAGAGUGUUUAAAGCAGGCUCACGCUUGAAUACAUUAGCAUGGAAUAAUGAAAUAGGACGUUUGAUUCUAUUUUGUUGGUUUCUAGGAUCGACGUAAUGAUUAAUAGGGAUAGUUGGGGGCAUUAGUAUUCAAUUGUCAGAGGUGAAAUUCUUGGAUUUAUUGAAGACUAACUACUGCGAAAGCAUUUGCCAAGGAUGUUUUCAUUAAUCAAGAACGAAAGUUAGGGGAUCGAAGACGAUCAGAUACCGUCGUAGUCUUAACCAUAAACUAUGCCGACUAGGGAUCGGAUGAUGUUAAUUUUUAAUGACUCAUUCGGCGCCUUACGGG